rnacentral:rRNA from 1 species
CAGCCGCCGCGGUAAUACGGAGGGGGCUGGCGUUGUUCGGAAUUACUGGGCGUAAAGCGCACGUAGGCGGCUUGGUAAGUUAGAGGUGAAAGCCCGGAGCUCAACUCCGGAAUUGCCUUUAAGACUGCCGAGCUAGUAGGUGAGAGAGGUAAGUGGAAUUCCGAGUGUAGAGGUGAAAUUCGUAGAUAUUCGGAAGAACACCAGUGGCGAAGGCGGCUUACUGGCUCAUUCUAGACGCUGAGGUGCGAAAGCGUGGGGAGCAAACAGGAUUAGAUACCCCUGUAGUCCCUGUCUCUUAUAU